rnacentral:rRNA from 1 species
AGAGUUUGAUCAUGGCUCAGAUUGAACGCUGGCGGCAGGCCUAACACAUGCAAGUCGAACGGUAACAGGAAACAGCUUGCUGUUUCGCUGACGAGUGGCGGACGGGUGAGUAAUGUCUGGGAAACUGCCUGAUGGAGGGGGAUAACUACUGGAAACGGUAGCUAAUACCGCAUAACGUCGCAAGACCAAAGAGGGGGACCUUCGGGCCUCUUGCCAUCAGAUGUGCCCAGAUGGGAUUAGCUAGUAGGUGGGGUAACGGCUCACCUAGGCGACGAUCCCUAGCUGGUCUGAGAGGAUGACCAGCCACACUGGAACUGAGACACGGUCCAGACUCCUACGGGAGGCAGCAGUGGGGAAUAUUGCACAAUGGGCGCAAGCCUGAUGCAGCCAUGCCGCGUGUAUGAAGAAGGCCUUCGGGUUGUAAAGUACUUUCAGCGGGGAGGAAGGGAGUAAAGUUAAUACCUUUGCUCAUUGACGUUACCCGCAGAAGAAGCACCGGCUAACUCCGUGCCAGCAGCCGCGGUAAUACGGAGGGUGCAAGCGUUAAUCGGAAUUACUGGGCGUAAAGCGCACGCAGGCGGUUUGUUAAGUCAGAUGUGAAAUCCCCGGGCUCAACCUGGGAACUGCAUCUGAUACUGGCAAGCUUGAGUCUCGUAGAGGGGGGUAGAAUUCCAGGUGUAGCGGUGAAAUGCGUAGAGAUCUGGAGGAAUACCGGUGGCGAAGGCGGCCCCCUGGACGAAGACUGACGCUCAGGUGCGAAAGCGUGGGGAGCAAACAGGAUUAGAUACCCUGGUAGUCCACGCCGUAAACGAUGUCGACUUGGAGGUUGUGCCCUUGAGGCGUGGCUUCCGGAGCUAACGCGUUAAGUCGACCGCCUGGGGAGUACGGCCGCAAGGUUAAAACUCAAAUGAAUUGACGGGGGCCCGCACAAGCGGUGGAGCAUGUGGUUUAAUUCGAUGCAACGCGAAGAACCUUACCUGGUCUUGACAUCCACGGAAGUUUUCAGAGAUGAGAAUGUGCCUUCGGGAACCGUGAGACAGGUGCUGCAUGGCUGUCGUCAGCUCGUGUUGUGAAAUGUUGGGUUAAGUCCCGCAACGAGCGCAACCCUUAUCCUUUGUUGCCAGCGGUCCGGCCGGGAACUCAAAGGAGACUGCCAGUGAUAAACUGGAGGAAGGUGGGGAUGACGUCAAGUCAUCAUGCCCCUUACGACCAGGGCUACACACGUGCUACAAUGGCGCAUACAAAGAGAAGCGACCUCGCGAGAGCAAGCGGACCUCAUAAAGUGCGUCGUAGUCCGGAUUGGAGUCUGCAACUCGACUCCAUGAAGUCGGAAUCGCUUGUAAUCGUGGAUCAGAAUGCCACGGUGAAUACGUUCCCGGGCCUUGUACACACCGCCCGUCACACCAUGGGAGUGGGUUGCAAAAGAAGUAGGUAGCUUAACCUUCGGGAGGGCGCUUACCACUUUGUGAUUCAUGACUGGGGUGAAGUCGAAACAAGGUAACCGUAGGGGAACCUGCGGUUG